GAGUGGGAGAAUGUGUUGGUACCCUCAAUUGCUCAUGGAGCUGAAUUGAGGCGUGGUUUGAAUUUUGCGGACGAAAUUUUUUUAAGGGGUGGAAAAUGUAACAUACUAGAUUUGGUAUAAAAAUAAAAAUAAAUAAAAAUAGUGUGAGAAAGUAUUUUUAUUGGAUUUAUAGAAGUAAAACAUAAGUCAGAAGUGACUUGUGCUGAAAUCGGAAUGAAAACAGAACAUCUGAAAUUUUCUGUUGGAAACGGGACAGAUAAAUUAGCAGAAAAUGCACAGUCUCAGAAAACGGGACAGAUAU
rnacentral:lncRNA from 1 species